rnacentral:rRNA from 1 species
UACAUAGGGUGCGAGCGUUAUUCGGAUUUAUUGGGCGUAAAGAGCUCGUAGGCGGUUCAACAAGUCGGGUGUUAAACCCCCAGGCUCAACCUGGGGCCGCCACCCGAAACUGUUGUGACUAGAGUUUGGUAGGGGAUCACGGAAUUCCUGGUGUAGCGGUGGAAUGCGCAGAUAUCAGGAGGAACACCAGUAGCGAAGGCGGUGAUCUGGGCCAAUACCGACGCUGAGGAGCGAAAGCGUGGGGGAGCGAACAGGAUUAGAUACCCUGGUAGUCCACGCCGUAAACGGUGGGCACUAGGUGUGGGGACUUUUCAACGGUUUCCGCGCCGCAGCUAACGCAUUAAGUGCCCCGCCUGGGGAGUACGGUCGCAAGACUAAAAC